rnacentral:tRNA from 1 species
GGGGGUGUAUGCAAAACGGAGAACGCGGCUUGAUUUUCAAUCAAGCGCCCGAAGGGCUUUGCGGGUUCGAGUCCCGCCGCCCCCGCCA